AUGAAAAACUUAUUUUCAAUAAUUGUAAGCCUUUUUUUACUAGUUAUUUGCUGCAGUACGAAAGAUGUUUUGGAUAGUAUCAAACAUGAUCUUCAAAUUAUAAACAGCUAUAAUUUUAAUACUGUUAUUAAUAAUUUUCGAAAUGAAAAAAUUUUUUUUGUUUUAUUUUUUAAAAAAACAAAUAAUAACAUAAAAAAGACAAUAGAACAAUAUAAUACAACAGCAAGCGAUUUUAAAGGAAUAAUAACAUUUUGUGUUAUUGAUUGUGAUACUAGUAAUAAUCAUAGCAUUUGUGAAAAUGAACUAUCACAUUAUGUUCCUAAUUAUAAAAAGGAAACUGAUAAACAUCAUAUAUUAGUUUACCCUAUAAAUCCAAUGCCACAAUUUUUAUUCAAUGAUGAUAUUAAUGUAAGUAAUGUUAAAAAAUAUACUUAUUUAAUACCAAGUAAAAUUCAAAUGAUUAAUGACUACAAUGAUGUUACACAACUUCUUGCUAAACAUGAAAAUAUGCCUAAAGUAUUAAUUUUUAGUCAAAAAAAAAAACCCAACUAUGUUCUUAAUGCUUUAAGUAUGGGUUUUAAUAAAAAACUUUUGUUUGGUUUUGUUAAUAAUAAACAAACUGAAAUAGUACAAAAAUAUAAAAUUAAAAAUAUCCCGAGUAUUAUAAUUAUUAAAAAUGAUAAAAUUAUUGAUACAUAUAAAGGAAAAUUAACUUACAUGGAUAUGUUUGAUUGGUUGAAUAUACAUUCUGAAACUUUUGUUAUGGGUGGUGGAUUUGACACAGUUACAAAUAAAACAGUAGAAAAACCAUGGAAAUUUGAACUUGUACCAAAAUUAACUAAAUUAUCAUAUGGUGAUAUUUGUUUUAAAAAAUCAGACAAAGGCUUAUGUUUUAUUUAUCUUAAGGAAGGAGACAAAUUAGAUAAAACAGAGACAAAUAUGUUACUUAUAUUGAAAGAAAAAUUUAAGCCAAACAUAGAUGGACGGUACUGCAUAAAAAAAAAAAAAAAAUAA
rnacentral:lncRNA from 1 species